rnacentral:rRNA from 1 species
UCUUGGUCANUUUAGAGGAAGUAAAAGUCGUAACAAGGUUUCCGUAGGUGAACCUGCGGAAGGAUCAUUAUCGUACAAAAUGUGUGAGGCAUGCAAGGGCUGUCGCUGACUUUUUAUAGUCGUGCACGCCAGAGCAUGUCCUCUCACAUAAAAUCCAUCUCACCCUUUUGUGCACCACCGCGUGGGCGCCCUUCGGGAUCGAUUCGAUCCAGGAAGGGGGCUUGCGUUUUCACACAAACCCCUUUUUAAAAAAAGUGUAGAAUGACCUCAUUUUUGCAAUAAAACGCAAUCAAUACAACUUUCAACAACGGAUCUCUUGGCUCUCGCAUCGAUGAAGAACGCAGCGAAAUGCGAUACGUAAUGUGAAUUGCAGAAUUCAGUGAAUCAUCGAAUCUUUGAACGCACCUUGCGCCCCUUGGUAUUCCGAGGGGCACACCCGUUUGAGUGUCGUGAAAAUCUCAACCUUCUCGGUUUCUUCUGGACACCGAAGGGAGGCUUGGACUUUGGAGGCCUUUGCUGGCAUCUCUCUCUUUUGAGAAAGGGUCAGCUCCUCUCAAAUGAAUUAGCGGGGUCCUCUUUGCCGACCCUCGACAUGUGAUAAGAUGUUUCCAUGUCUUGGUUUAUGGCUCUGUUGCCUUUGGGACCCGCUUCUAAUCGUCUCGAGACAAUGUUCGAGCGUGUCUCCCUUCUCGGGAAACACUCUCGAACCCACGAACCCUUGACCUCAAAUCGGGUGAGACUACCCGCUGAACUUAAGCAUAUCAAUAAGCGGAGGAA